CCUACGGGGUGCAGCAGUGGGGAAUAUUGCACAAUGGGCGCAAGCCUGAUGCAGCCAUGCCGCGUGUAUGAAGAAGGCCUUCGGGUUGUAAAGUACUUUCAGCGGGGAGGAAGGUGUUGUGGUUAAUAACCGCAGCAAUUGACGAUACCCGCAGAAGAAGCACCGGCUAACUCCGUGCCAGCAGCCGCGGUAAUACGGAGGGUGCAAGCGCUAAUCGGAAUUACUGGGCGUAAAGCGCACGCAGGCGGUCUGUCAAGUCGGAUGUGAAAUCCCCGGGCUCAACCUGGGAACUGCAUUCGAAACUGGCAGGCUAGAGUCUUGUAGAGGGGGGUAGAAUUCCGGGUGUAGCGGUGAACUGCGUAGAGAUCUGGAGGAAUACCGGUGGUGAAGGCGGCCCCCUGGACAAAGACUGACGCUCAGGUGCGAAAGCGUGGGGAGCAAACAGGAUUAGAUACCCCCGUAGUC
rnacentral:rRNA from 1 species